GUGGGGAAUCUUGCGCAAUGGGCGAAAGCCUGACGCAGCGACGCCGCGUGCGGGAUGAAGGCCUUCGGGUCGUAAACCGCUUUCAGCAGGGACGAUUGUGACGGUACCUGCAGAAGAAGCCCCGGCCAACUACGUGCCAGCAGCCGCGGUAAUACGUAGGGGGCAAGCGUUGUCCGGAUUUAUUGGGCGUAAAGAGCUCGUAGGCGGUUAGGUAAGUCGGGUGUGAAAUCUCCGUGCUCAACACGGAGGGGCCAUUCGAUACUGCCUUGACUUGAGUUCGGUAGAGGAGUGUGGAAUUCCAGGUGUAGCGGUGAAAUGCGCAGAUAUCUGGAGGAACACCCGUAGCGAAGGCGGCACUCUGGGCCGAUACUGACGCUGAGGAGCGAAAGCGUGGGGAGCAAACAGGAUUAGAAACCCGAGUAGUCC
rnacentral:rRNA from 1 species